GAAAUAGAUUCAAGAUCUAAAACUUCUCUCUUUUCUCCUCUUUCUCUCUGAAACUAGAUUGGGAACCAUCACAACCAAAACCAAUUUGUUUGUCUCUUCUUUCACUCUCGAUCUCUCUCGAUCCCUCUGAGUCUUAAUUCCUCUCAGUCUCAACUCUGGAUCUCGGUCGUCAGUUUCAUCGAUCUACAAAUCUCUCUUAAUCGUUUCUACUUUCAAUUUCAGUUAAGCUUCUCUACCUUGUUGUUUAUUUGGUCUCGAUUUUGGCUCGAAUCUCAAAUUAGGAGUUUGAUUUUAUUUGUUGCUCGCUUUCGUAGACUCGGAUUCAUGAAUAGGUUGAGUUUCAGUAGCUAUAUAUGGGUUCAUAAUUCAAUCUUGGUUUACCUUCAUUAGCCACCUUCCCAAUAUAGUAUAGACAUGUAUAGUCCCCUCGGGUCGAAUAUCAGAACAUGUUAAUAUUAGCCCCCUACCCCUGUAUCGAGACUAGAUUCUGAGACCUUGAGACACAUUUAUUUUAUUCUUUUCGAAGGUCUCCUAGUAAACUAGUAAAGCUACAAACGUUGGGUCUCUAAUCAGAUUUGCUUCCUUGAUGUGUGUUUCUUACAUAGCU
rnacentral:lncRNA from 1 species